rnacentral:rRNA from 1 species
CGUAGGCAGCGAGCGUUGUUCGGAGUUACUGGGCGUAAAGGGUGUGUAGGCGGUUGUUUAAGUUUGGUGUGAAAUCUCCCGGCUCAACUGGGAGGGUGCGCCGAAUACUGAAUGACUUGGAGUGCGGGAGAGGAAAGUGGAAUUCCUGGUGUAGCGGUGAAAUGCGUAGAUAUCAGGAGGAACACCGGUGGUGUAGACGGCUUUCUGGACCGUAACUGACGCUGAGACACGAAAGCGUGGGUAGCAAACAGGAUUAGAUACCCUGGUAGUCCACGCCCUAAACGAUGCAUAUUUGGUGUGGGCAGUUCAUUCUGUCCGUGCCGGAGCUAACGCGUUAAAUACGCCGCCUGGGGAGUACAGUCGCAAGGCUG